CUUCUUUAUCCAAGCCUCCCCCGUCCUCCAGCCGCUGAUUGGCUGCAUGCAAACGAAGCUGUGGGCCCUGUUGGGAAUACCAGUCGCUGGGUUCGGUUUCAGCCGCAACUUGAACACCCGCAGGAAAGUAAUUCUCUUCUCUCUAUCAUCCAAACUCUCACAAUGCCUCGUCUCAGUAAGUGUAUGGAGGUGAACAGAGGGAGUUUGCUCGCCAGCCUGAUCGGGUAGAAGAAGUACUUUGCUGAGCCCGGUGUGCCUGGAGGAUGUAGGGUCUCAAUGCACCUUUUGACAUGGGAUAAACUCUUUCUGUCUGUAUUGCUGUGUCUAUUGCUGACUGAAGUGAAGCAUUUGACGUUGGAGCAAACAGCUGAUGAGAUAACAGAACUCGCCUUAGAAGAGAUUUCUGCUCAAUUUUCAGAGGGAGAAGAAAAGGGAAAGAGUAAGAAAAAGAAGAAGAAAGGUGCAGUAAGAGGAGGUGACGGGAAGAGAAGAAACACAGUGCAGACAUGCCCAUGAAGCCUUAUCCAGCUGGCUGCCACCAGUUGGGUACCCCUCACUUUAAAGGCUCCCCAGGGGCAGGGAAGGUGUCAGCAGCUAUAAGCCUUUUCAUAACAGUGUGCCACUGAGAGUGCCAUCUUGUGAUGCCAGGCCUUAGAAGACUGAACAGGCAAACCAAACCAAUGGCUUCACUUCACUCAGCUAAAAAGGUAAUCGUGGUCUCAUAGCAACAUUAUCACAGCAUUGCAGGCUGAUAGACUGGCAUACCUGGCUAGGAAAGGAGUACCAGUAUUUCCCUCUGUGCCCUGGCAGCCACUUCUCUCAGGAGCAGCUGUGGGGAACAGCUUCAGGGGAAAGCCCUGGACCUCCAGGGCCAGAAAAUGUAAAAAUAAGGACGCAGGCAAGAGUUGAAGGAAGGACAUAGCUGGUGUUGAACUGCUCCGAAAAGAGGAAGAGCUCCGUUCUGAAAAGCCUCUUAUUUCUGCCAGAGUUCUGGCCCCUUGCCAGGGUGCCAGUUAUGCAGGACUCGAUUGGAGAAUAGCCCUGCCUGCCUUUCCAAAUCAGGACUGUUGACUGUUAUGGAUCUGUUAAAUGGAACUUAUAUUUAAACUCUAAAAUAUAAGUGUCGGGUAGGGCCCGCUGUAACAUCCUUAGGAGUCAGCAAUGUUGUUAUCGAAGCCUUGGGCUAGCUCUUGGCAACCUAUUAGCACUUGCUUUAGACAGGAAAAGCCAUGUUUGACAGCCUUGAAGGGGCUAGGGGAUUGAAGAAGACUUUGCAGCAGCUAUAUUAAAGCACUUUGCCAGAUUGCACCAUGAAAUUUGCUGAAGGAUUUGCAGGCUGAACUGUGUUACUCAGAGGCACCCGAUAGGCAGCAUUAUAGGCCCUGCUGACUGACUUGGCCCCUGCUCAGCUGCAGGGGCAAUGUCAGGGGUUGGCCAGAUUUGGCACUGGCUGGUGCCAGUGCACCCAUAAGAGGGCUCACUCACUGAAACAUUCCCUGAACAUUCCAAGUUAAUUGCAAAUAGCCACUUUGGAGGCAAUUUUAUCCCAAAAAUGUAGCAGGAGAAAAUAUUAUCCCCCACCACCAUGUGCCCUGGUCCAUAGUUGGAUUGGUGCCUCCAUAAUGGUAUUCCAAGAUAAAAGGACCACCUCUUGUCUGCUUCCUGGUUUAAGCCCAUCUGUUAAUGACAGAACUGAUGUCACAUGUUGUCUGACCCCAAUUCAGUUGGAGUAUGUGAGGGCAGAAGGGGCAUGCCAACACAAGGCUCUUUCUCAUUGUGCCAAACUAGGACUUGGUGUUACAUCUAGACCAAACUUCAUCACACCUUUUCCAACGUGCAUAACUUCCAUCUUAACAGGAAGGACCUUCUGGGUGGUUGCCUAAAGCUAAUCAAACAAGAGCAACUGAAGCUGGCAGAACUGAAAAAGGAUAUUUAUAUGGAUGAGUUCAGAUGUAUGGUGGCACCUAAGGUUGCCGCUGCCCUGGGAGUGCAUGCUUCCCCGCCCCAUCUCUGUGCAGGCUUCUACUUCUGAUCCAGCUUCCAAUAUGCUGAGGUUGGGUGUGUUGUCCAAACUCACCAAUCUCCUUCCCUACUUCCCUCAGGGAACCUAGUACCUUACUUCAAAACUAAGUUAUACAUGUCAGGUUCUCUGAGGGAAGUAGGACGAGAUUGGUGAGUUCAGAUGACAGUCUCAGCAUAUCUGAAUCUGGAAUGGGGGUGGAGGCUUAUGCAUGCUCCUGGGGUGGCAGCAACCUCAGGUGCUGCUGUGCAACUGAACCCAACCCAUCCAUAAAGAUGUAAAUGGCACAUAAACACUGCACAUCAGAAUACAUUAAUGAAGGGUUGUAUUAAUUUACGCAGGAAAAAAAGUGUUGUCAUUACAAUGCAGUAUUUAUUGUAAAUGAGUAUUUGUAAGGGCAAAAGUAAGGGCAAAUUAUCUUAAUCAUACUUAGCACUAUGGUGAGGUUUAUGAUGCCAUCAGCUCAUGGUGCUUCAAACCAGUGUGGCUUUGCUGUAACUUAAGUGUGUUUUAUCUGUUGCCAUACCUACCUAAAAGGCAGAAAUGCCUAUCUUAGAUAAUACGGAGCUAUAAUAAUUAUUAGGUAUAACUGCCCUGUUUCCCUCUGUAUUUAAUUAAAGUAAUUAUUAUUUUCAAGACCCAUGAUUAUAUAAUGUUGCAAUGAGCUGCACACAGCCUCACUGACACAAAAAUCAUUAGACUGUUUGUUGUUUGCCAGAUUACAAGGCAGCAACAACCCAUAAUGUGUGAGAAUGUCCCUGGUUUAUUUAUAUUUCCUGAUGGGUUCCCACCCCCCUCAACACUGCGUUGACAUUCUUUUGCUUCCUUGCUUCUAGGGAGUCAUGUAACUGGAUCUCUCCAGUCCUUCCAGAUGGCAAUUAUAAUCCAAUUUAAGUUUGAUUUUGCUCCACUCUUUGACUUUGUUUUAAAGGAAUGUGCACCUUUAUGAAGUCAUCCUCACUAUUGAUGGAUAAAAUCACAAUUUUUAAUUCUUUCUUUGAAAACCUAUGCUAGGGAGAUAUUUGUGUAACUCAAAAAGCUUCUUCCAGUAAUAUGAAUAUUAAUUGAUCCAGUAAAUACUGUAAUAAUUUAAAGUUUUUAAAAUUAAAAAAGUUACACUUGAUAUAGCUAACAUUCUCUGCUGAUAGAAUCUGGAACUAAGCUCUCCUUUUAAAAUGUUUCAGCGGCAGUAUGUAUUAAAAUCUGUUAGAUUUUCUACUAGA